rnacentral:rRNA from 1 species
GUCGAGAAUCUUUCACAAUGGGGGCAACCCUGAUGGAGCGACGCCGCGUGGAAGAUAAGGUCUUCGGAUUGUAAACUCCUGUCAUGCGUGAACAAGGUUGCUUGGUUAAUACCUGGGCAAAUUGAUGGUAACGCAAGAGGAAGAGACGGCUAACUCUGUGCCAGCAGCCGCGGUAAUACAGAGGUCUCAAGCGUUGUUCGGAAUCACUGGGCGUAAAGGGUGCGUAGGUGGCGUGGUAAGUCAGAUGUGAAAGCCCGGGGCUCAACCUCGGAACUGCAUCCGAUACUGCCAUGCUAGAGUACUGGAGAGGUGACUAGAAUUCUCGGUGUAGCAGUGAAAUGCGUAGAUAUCGAGAGGAAUACCAAAGGCGUAGCCAGGUCACUGGACAGUUACUGACACUGAGGCACGAAGGCCAGGGGAGCGAACGGGAUUAGAUACCCGGGUAGUCC